UACGUAGGGGGCGAGCGUUGUCCGGAAUGACUGGGCGUAGAGGGCGUGUAGGCGGUUCUGUAAGUAGGGCGUGAAAGCUCCCGGCUCAACUGGGAGAUGCCGUUCUAAACUGCAGAGCUAGAGGAUGGUAGAGGGAGGUGGAAUUCCAGGUGUAGCGGUGGAAUGCGCAGAUAUCUGGAGGAACACCAGUGGCGAAGGCGGCCUCCUGGACCAUUCCUGACACUCAGACGCGAAAGCUAGGGUAGCAAACGGGAUUAGAUACCCCCGUAGU
rnacentral:rRNA from 1 species